rnacentral:lncRNA from 1 species
CCCAAUACACGAGAGGGGGACUAUAUAAGAAUCAAUGAAGCUGUCACUAUCACGAACCACCCCACGAUCUGGCGUAUUGGGUACAAUCGCAGAUAAAUACGGUAUAAGCACCACGCCUACACAAUAUCUAUCAUUUACCCAUGGAUCCGAUGGAUAAACGCUAUACGAUCCUAAGCAUGUAUAUAGAUCGAAUCUAACUAAGCCAAGUACAUAACUAUGAUAAACUAAGAACAAUAUAAUCUUGAAUAUAAGCAAGUAGAGCAAAGUCAUAAGCAAUAUAUUGAAGUAGAACAAAGUCAUAUUCAUAAUAUUGAAGAACAAAGAUAAUUAGAAAGCAAUUAGAAGCACAAUUAGAGAAUUACCAAGAAUCCUCCUGACAGAUCCGGAAACCAAUCGAAGAUUGACUCCUUCUAGUUCUAAUCCUAUGUAGCUAUGCUAAUCUAGAUGUCUAAUUGAUGUGGUGGCUCUAAUCUUGAUCAGAGGCUUCUUCUCCCU